GUUAACCAUCUCUAUCUAAAGAUCAGAAGUCCAACGGGUUCAGCUCUUCAACCCCACAGAUCCUUGUUUUUCUGUUCAGUUUUUUACCCAUACAAAUGUCAUACACUUCUGGAUCACUGCAAGUUAUAUUAAAAAG
ensembl:misc_RNA